GAUGAACGCUGGCGGCGUGCCUAAUACAUGCAAGUCGAGCGAACAGAUGAGAAGCUUGCUUCUCUGAUGUUAGCGGCGGACGGGUGAGUAACACGUGGGUAACCUACCUAUAAGACUGGGAUAACCCCGGGAAACCGGGGCUAAUACCGGAUAAUAUUUUGAACCGCAUGGUUCAAUAGUGAAAGACGGUUUCGGCUGUCACUUAUAGAUGGACCCGCGCCGUAUUAGCUAGUUGGUAAGGUAACGGCUUACCAAGGCGACGAUACGUAGCCGACCUGAGAGGGGGAUCGGCCACACUGGAACUGAGACACGGUCCAGACUCCUACGGGAGGCAGCAGUAGGGAAUCUUCCGCAAUGGGCGAAAGCCUGACGGAGCAACGCCGCGUGAGUGAUGAAGGUCUUCGGAUCGUAAAACUCUGUUGUUAGGGAAGAACAAAUUUGUUAGUAACUGAACAAGUCUUGACGGUACCUAACCAGAAAGCCACGGCUAAAUACGUGCCAGCCGCCGCAGUAA
rnacentral:rRNA from 1 species